UGGCGGAAUGCUUUACACAUGCAAGUCGAACGGUAGAGGGGGCAACCCUUGAGAGUGGCGAACGGGUGAGUAAUAUAUCGGAACGUGCCCAGUCGUGGGGGAUAACGUAGCGAAAGUUACGCUAAUACCGCAUACGAUCUAAGGAUGAAAGCGGGGGAUCGCAAGACCUCGCGCGAUUGGAGCGGCCGAUAUCAGAUUAGGUAGUUGGUGAGGUAAAGGCUCACCAAGCCGACGAUCUGUAGCUGGUCUGAGAGGACGACCAGCCACACUGGGACUGAGACACGGCCCAGACUCCUACGGGAGGCAGCAGUGGGGAAUUUUGGACAAUGGGCGCAAGCCUGAUCCAGCAAUGCCGCGUGCAGGAUGAAGGCCUUCGGGUUGUAAACUGCUUUUGUACGGAACGAAACGGUGAGCUCUAAUACAGUUUGCUAAUGACGGUACCGUAAGAAUAAGCACCGGCUAACUACGUG
rnacentral:rRNA from 1 species